rnacentral:rRNA from 1 species
ACACAUGCAAGUCGAACGAGAAUCUGAUGAAGGAGUUUUCGGACAACUGAUUCAGAGGAAAGUGGCGGACGGGUGAGUAACGCGUGAGGAACCUGCCUUGAAGAGGGGGACAACAGUUGGAAACGACUGCUAAUACCGCAUGACGCAUAGGGAUCGCAUGAUCUUUAUGCCAAAGAUUUAUCGCUUCAAGAUGGCCUCGCGUCUGAUUAGCUAGUUGGCGGGGUAACGGCCCACCAAGGCGACGAUCAGUAGCCGGACUGAGAGGUUGAACGGCCACAUUGGGACUGAGAUACGGCCCAGACUCCUACGGGAGGCAGCAGUGGGGAAUAUUGGGCAAUGGGCGCAAGCCUGACCCAGCAACGCCGCGUGAAGGAAGAAGGCUUUCGGGUUGUAAACUUCUUUUAAGAGGGAAGAGCAGAAGACGGUACCUCUAGAAUAAGCCACGGCUAACUACGUGCCAGCAGCCGCGGUAAUACGUAGGUGGCAAGCGUUGUCCGGAUUUACUGGGUGUAAAGGGCGUGCAGCCGGGUCUGCAAGUCAGAUGUGAAAUCCAUGGGCUCAACCCAUGAACUGCAUUUGAAACUGUAGAUCUUGAGUGUCGGAGGGGCAAUCGGAAUUCCUAGUGUAGCGGUGAAAUGCGUAGAUAUUAGGAGGAACACCAGUGGCGAAGGCGGAUUGCUGGACGAUAACUGACGGUGAGGCGCGAAAGUGUGGGGAGCAAACAGGAUUAGAUACCCUGG